AAGCAUGGCAUCCUGGAUGGGCAUUCUGCUUCUCUUUAAAGAGCAUGGAUUUAUCCAUACCAUGCGACAUGAAUGAAAUGAGGAGUUUGCAGUGCUGCCAACCUCUUGGUUAAGGUUCUGUGUAGUAUAUUUCUCCUAUAAUA
ensembl:snoRNA